AUUUAGGUAGUUUAAAAAAUGCCGAUUUGUGGUGUCGGAGUUGUUAUAAAAUCUAUAACCUUAAAUU
rnacentral:tRNA from 1 species